GGGGGUAUAGCUCAGUGGUAGAGUGUGUGCUUAGCAUGCACAAGGUCCUGGGUUCAAUCCCCAGCACCUCCA
rnacentral:tRNA from 1 species